GAUGAACGCUGGCGGCGUGCUUAACACAUGCAAGUCGAACGAGAAGUGAAGACGGAAACCUUCGGGCGGAAGGCUUUAUUUCGAGUGGCGGACGGGUGAGUAACGCGUGGGUAACCUGCCUCAUACAGGAGGAUAACAGUUGGAAACGACUGUUAAUACCGCAUAAGACCACAGCACCGCAUGGUGCGGGGGUAAAAACUCCGGUGGUAUGAGAUGGACCCGCGUUCGAUUAGCCAGUUGGCGGGGUAACGGCCCACCAAAGCGACGAUCGAUAGCCGAUCUGAGAGGAUGACCGGCCACAUUGGGACUGAGACACGGCCCAAACUCCUACGGGAGGCAGCAGUGGGGAAUAUUGCACAAUGGGGGAAACCCUGAUGCAGCGACGCCGCGUGAGUGAAGAAGUAUUUCGGUAUGUAAAGCUCUAUCAGCAGGGAAGAAAAUGACGGUACCUGAGUAAGAAGCCCCGGCUAACUACGUG
rnacentral:rRNA from 1 species